UACGGGGGGAGCAAGCGUUGUUCGGAUUUACUGGGCGUAAAGGGCGCGUAGGCGGCCUGUGCAAGUCAGUUGUGAAAUCUCCGAGCUUAACUCGGAACGGUCAACUGAUACUGCUCGGCUAGAGUGCGGAAGGGGCAACUGGAAUUCUUGGUGUAGCGGUGAAAUGCGUAGAUAUCAAGAGGAACACCAAUGGCGAAGGCAGCUCGCUGGGACGGUACUGACGCUGAGGCGCGAAGGCUAGGGGAGCGAACAGG
rnacentral:rRNA from 1 species